GCUCCUGAGAAAACCAGGUCACUUAAUUAGGUGACAAAUUAUGGCUUAGGUGCUCACAUUUCCUCACGCUGGGCAGCAAAUGUUGGCUGCAGCAUUGUAGAAAAAAAAAAAUAAAUUAUGACUCAGAUGAACCAGAAAAGAGGAAAAAGUAAGAAAAUGACUUAUUUUUCGGAAUUUACUGGAUGGUAUCACUGAGUAACCAUUUCUGGUGAGGCAAAAUGGGUUCAGGAGAUUUGUGCAGCAUUGCUGGCCCCCUGGGGCACCCAGUUCCUCUUGGCUUCUGAGAUGAAGCGCAGGGAAAUCAUUUAAAAGCACCCAGCAACAUGGAAUAACCAUUUCUAACAGAGGUUCUGUGCAAAUGCAGAUCUGGAGAAUUCAGGGGAAGAGGAAAGAAAAUCCUUACAGCAAUGACUUCCAAAUGCACAGCAGGAAGAAAUAAAUGGGUUUGAUUCUUCCACUUGAGGUGGGAGACACCAAAGUGUGUUGAAGAAUUAAAUGGGGGUUCUUCCACCUCAAAGCCCUUCUCAUACACUCCUCAAUGUCAGGGCCCAAGGAAAACCUUUCUCCACUCAAUCCUUGGUUAAACAGGGUGAAAUAUGGCCGGGAAACAUCCCAGCUAAAGAGCCACAUUCCCGGGUGCCACGAAUUUCUGAAUUAUUCUGCACACAGAAAUGGCCACAGCAAAGUAGAAAAAAAACACCCAAUUCCUGGGUUCCCAUAAUUUCUGAAUUAUUCUGCACAAAAAACCAGCCACAGAGGGGUGUUCCUAAAUGUGCUGUGCUCCUCUGAAUCCUCAACGUGCACAAUUCACUCAGCCACCCCCCAAAAAAUAAUAUGAUGCUGUUUCUGUUCUGAUUUGGGUGACCUUGCUGCUUUCACUAAACCAACUGCACAUUGAGUUUUGCAAGGAAAAUUUCUGUGCAUUUAAUGACUUGGUUAUGUGAAAUAGGAAAAAAAAUCACCCAAAUUCCUGAGUGCCAUUAAUUUCUGAAUUAUUCUGCACACAGAAAUGGCCACAGUGAAGCAGAAAAAAAACCACCCAAAUUUCUGGGUGCCAUAAUUUCUGAAUUAUUCUGCACCCAGAAACGGCCACAUUGAGGUGCUCCAAAAUGUGCUGUGACAAUUCACUCAGCCACCCCCCAAAAAAAAUCAUGUGAUUCUGCUUCUGUUCUGAUUUGGGUGACCUUGGUGCUUUCACUAAACAACUGCACCUUGAGGAACGGUUUUGCAAGGAAAAUUUGCAGAAUUAUGAAUUUAAUGACUUAGUUAUGUGCAGUAGGAAAAAAACCCACCCAAAUUCCUGGGUGCCAUUAAUUUCUGAAUUAUUCUGCACACAGAAAUGGCCACAGUAAAGUAGGAAAAAAACACCCAAAUUUCUGGGUGCCACAAAUUUCUGAAUUAUUCUGCACACAGAAACGGCCACAGUGAAGUAGGAAAAAAACCACCCAAAUUCCUGGCUGACAUGAAUUUCUGAAUUAUUCUGUGCACAGAAACGGCCACAUUGAGGUGCUCCAAAAUGUGCUGUGACAAUUCAUUCAGCCACCCCCCAAAAAAAUCAUAUAAUGCUGUUUCUGUUCUGAUUUGGGUGACCUUGGUGCUUUCACUAAACAACUGCACAUUCAGGAAUGAUUUUGCAAGGAAAAUUUGCAAAAUUAUGCAUUUAAUGACUUGGUUAUGUGAAGUAGGAAAAAAACACCCAAAUUUCUGGGUGCCACAAAUUUCUGAAUUAUUCUGCACACAGAAACGGCCACAGUGAAGUAGAAAAAAAACACCCAAAUUUCUGGGUGAC
ensembl:lncRNA